rnacentral:rRNA from 1 species
GAUGAACGCUGGCGGCGUGCCUAAUACAUGCAAGUCGAGCGAACGGACGAGAAGCUUGCUUCUCUGAUGUUAGCGGCGGACGGGUGAGUAACACGUGGAUAACCUACCUAUAAGACUGGGAUAACUUCGGGAAACCGGAGCUAAUACCGGAUGAUAUUUUGAACCGCAUGGUUCAAAAGUGAAAGACGGCCUUGCUGUCACUUAUAGAUGGAUCCGCGCUGCAUUAGCUAGUUGGUAAGGUAACGGCUUUCCAAGGCAACGAUGCAUAGCCGACCUGAGAGGGUGAUCGGCCACACUGGAACUGAGACACGGUCCAGACUCCUACGGGAGGCAGCAGUAGGGAAUCUUCCGCAAUGGGCGAAAGCCUGACGGAGCAACGCCGCGUGAGUGAUGAAGGUCUUCGGAUCGUAAAACUCUGUUAUUAGGGAAGAACAUAUGUGUAAGUAACUGUGCACAUCUUGACGGUACCUAAGCAGAAAGCCACGGCUAACUACGU